rnacentral:rRNA from 1 species
UAGGGAAUCUUCCACAAUGGACGCAAGUCUGAUGGAGCAACGCCGCGUGAGUGAAGAAGGUUUUCGGAUCGUAAAGCUCUGUUGUUGGUGAAGAAGGAUAGAGGCAGUAACCGGUCUUUAUUUGACGGUAAUCAACCAGAAAGUCACGGCUAACUACGUGCCAGCAGCCGCGGUAAUACGUAGGUGGCAAGCGUUGUCCGGAUUUAUUGGGCGUAA